AUUCACGCUGGCGGCGUGCCUCAUACAUGCAAGUCGCGCGCACAGACGAGGAGCUUGCUCCUCUGACGUUAGCGGCGGACGGGUGAGUAACACGUGGAUAACCUACCUAUAAGACUGGGAUAACUUCGGGAAACCGGAGCUAAUACCGGAUAAUAUAUUGAACCGCAUGGUUCAAUAGUGAAAGACGGUUUUGCUGUCACUUAUAGAUGGAUCCGCGCCGCAUUAGCUAGUUGGUAAGGUAACGGCUUACCAAGGCAACGAUGCGUAGCCGACCUGAGAGGGUGAUUGGCCACACUGGAACUGAGACACGGUCCAGACUCCUACGGGAGGCAGCAGUAGGGAAUCUUCCGCAAUGGGCGAAAGCCUGACGGAGCAACGCCGCGUGAGUGAUGAAGGUCUUCGGAUCGUAAAACUCUGUUAUUAGGGAAGAACAAAUGUGUAAGUAACUAUGCACGUCUUGACGGUACCUAAUCAGAAAGCCACGGCUAACUACGUG
rnacentral:rRNA from 1 species